rnacentral:rRNA from 1 species
CCUACGGGAGGCUGCAGUGGGGAAUAUUGCACAAUGGGGGCAACCCUGAUCCAGCGAUGCCGCGUGAGUGAUGAAGGCCCUAGGGUUGUAAAACUCUUUCGUCAGGGAAGAUAAUGACGGUACCUGAAGAAGAAGAUCCGGCUAACUCCGUGCCAGCAGCCGCGGUAAUACGGAGGGGUCUAGCGUUAUUCGGAAUUACUGGGCGUAAAGCGAGCGUAGGCGGAUUUGUAAGUUGGAGGUGAAAUCCCAGAGCUUAACUCUGGAACUGCCUUCAAAACUACAUUUCUUGAGUUUGGUAGAGGAGAGUGGAAUUCCUAGUGUAGAGGUGAAAUUCGUAGAUAUUAGGAGGAACACCAGUGGCGAAGGCGACUCUCUGGGCCAAUACUGACGCUGAGGUUCGAAAGCAUGGGUAGCGAACAGGAUUAGAUACCCUGGUAGUC